rnacentral:rRNA from 1 species
UUGCUUUCUUUGCUGGCGACCGGCGCACGGGUGAGUAACACGUAUCCAACCUGCCCUUUACUCGGGGAUAGCCUUUCGAAAGAAAGAUUAAUACCCGAUAGCAUAAUGAUUCCGCAUGGUUUCAUUAUUAAAGGAUUCCGGUAAAGGAUGGGGAUGCGUUCCAUUAGGUUGUUGGUGAGGUAACGGCUCACCAAGCCUUCGAUGGAUAGGGGUUCUGAGAGGAAGGUCCCCCACAUUGGAACCGAGACACGGUCCAAACUCCUACGGGAGGCAGCAUG